UUCUGUGUAUUCAUUUGGGCCUAACUCGGGCGGGCGGCUGACGUAAAGCUCACACGUGGCGGUGGGGCUCAGGUGGUUUUGGCAGAAAGAUUUAUCAUAACAGAUGCCCAUGUCAGCCAGGGCAUCUUCACCUUGUCUCAUCCCCCUGCCAGCUGAGGAACACACGUAGAGCCUUGGGGAAGAGUUAAUGAGUAUAUAGGCUGGGUAGUCUUUGUCAUCAAAUUAAGGAUUUGUUCUUUCUUUUUAGAGAAUGAAACACUGCUGGACUUUAAAGAAUUACAUACCCUUCUGAGGUAUACAUUGAAUGUAAAGUGUGCUAAAAGAUUGUAGAGGCAGCACAAGAGAUAGCAGUUCAAUGAGUGUUGUAACCCAUCUUUGUGGGGCCUUCAUUUAGAUCCAGCUGGCUUUCCUGGUUUGUUCCUGAGAUGGGGAGUGUGGAUUGAGAAAUGGCUGAGUUAUGUAACCAAAAAUACCUGAGAUUGGUCAUUUAUAAGGACUGAAGUGUUUUGUCACAGUUCUGAAGGCUGGACCUUCCAAGUUUAGCAUGCUCCCCAUUGGUACCUGUGAAGCUUCCUGUUGGCUGGUCUAGAAGCCCACUGCCAGGAUGUGGAGGAAGGUGUGAGUACGCCAGUCACCUCCAUUUUUCUGACUCAACAUGUGGCCCCUGUUGGACCUCCAUCCUAAAGGAAGUUUCAUGCCCCUUGCUGGAUCUGCCAACUGAACAUAACAUAACAAGAUGCAAGAAACAAAAAAUGCACAGACUGUCAUAUCAAGGUUUUCUACAUGGUUCUGCUGGUAAGGCUGUAAGAGGAGUGAAGAUGCUGGAUGAAUGAUGCUGUUAUAUUUCAGUAGAAAUUUUUCCAUUAGCUUAUUUUGUUUUCAGAAAAUAUCACUGAAACCCAUGAGUAAGACAGCUAUAUUUCUGGUUGUGAAGCAAUGUCUUCCCAAGGAAAAUGACAGAAUCUAUAAAGGGGCUCCCCAAUUUUUUUUGCACACAUCAAAACUUUGUCACUGAGCCAAGAGGAGAUUUUGUUAUACAUUCAGGAAUGCAAAGACAAGAGUUUGAAAUACAGUAGCUUACUGAAGCAUCUUUGUCUUUCAAAUGACCAAAAAUUCCCGAAAGCCUUUUAUUCUGCAUAACUACAUCUGGACUUACUGACAAUCUAAGAUCCAGAAGGAUGCUUCCUGGAAGCACUUAACUAGAUAUAAAAAAUAGGAGGGGAAAACAGAGUGGUCUGAUUACAGUUAUCUUUUAAAAAUAGCAAGGAAAGAAAUGGUUCUGGGAACCUUCAGUCAGGCCCACUGAGACAAUCAUUGCCUCUGGGAUCAUGGUUAGGGUGCACCUUGGUAACUAAGACAUUACUCCACACUUUGACCAUCUGUGACCUGAAGUAUUUCAUUUCAGGUACUCUGAAUCUGGUAAACUCGGGAUUUGUGGCUUCAAUACAGGAAGUAAUUUCAGGGUUAGCCAUUGUGAACCUGAGUUGGGGUUCUCUUAAACAUAGACGAGAGGCAUUCUGGGAAAGGACAAAAGCAUACCUACUUCAUAGAGGAGGCUUCCCGAAGAAGAAGUCAUUAUUGACAUACACUUGAACCUGGAUUGUAAUCACAAAGAUUAAGAGAAAGAGGGGGUGUGUAUGGGCUCUGUGGAGAAUAGCAAUUAGUUGUCUUCUUUUUAGUAAAUGUGCCUUUUUGGUGGCUCUCAAGAUAUAUCUUAAGCAUUUGCUAAGAAACUAUUUUUGCCUUCCUCUCUCCUUUUGAUAACCUAGAUUACAAACAAGGUGGCUUUGAAUGAGGUUAUGUCAGUCUGAUAAGUUAAAAAGCAGGAUCCACUAAGGGUUUAGUCCACCUUAUUCUAUGUAAAUAGGGUUUGUGGUGAGACAUUUAAGUUCAGAUUUGCAUCUAGGAAAGGAGAAACCCUUCAGUAAAAGUUACUGGGCCCUAUUCCAGAUUCUGGUGAGAGACUUUGGGCAGAAUUGAGUGAGGGCCUCAUUUCCUUUCCCAGGCCCCUACAGACUUCCCCACCUUCUGCCCUAUCUCUGGGUUUAGGAGAACAUGAGUGCAUUGGUGAAGCACAAGGAACAGGGCAGCCUGUAGAUUUAGUGUUUGUUGUUGUUUUGGUUUUUUUUGUUUGUUUUUCUUUUCUUCUUCUUCUUUGAAUUUCCCUCUCUUAUCCAAAUGCAUUCCCUAAUAGGUUGCACCAUGUCCUGGAUAGUUAAGAUGCUCCAUGAUGCCAAGUUUUCCCUUCUUACCCGUAGUCUCCCAGUCAAGGAUGCCUCAUCUUAUUAGGAGGCAUAAGCUGUGCUCAGAAAGCUGGCAGACUGCACUUAGCAGGCUCUUACUCCAUUCCUGAUGCCAAAGAUUCUUAUUCAUACAAAUGCUUGGAAGAAAGUCUCCUGCCUGUUUUCUUAGUUCACUUGCCAUGCAAAGAAUUGCUGGAAAGCAACCACACCCCAAAUGCAGAUGUUGCUCGCUGACAGACCAGCUUCUACCAAGACAUCCACAAUCAGCUAGCAACAGCUGCAUCACAGGCCAACUGACAUUCCUUCUCCAAAUUCACAACCCCACCAUUCCUUCUCAUUGGACUUCUAUCUUCUUUGGUGUCCCUUUUACUCUUAGGUAAGUUCUGUUUCAUAUCAUUAAGGAAACUACAGUGAGAGGCCAUCCUUUUUAUCUUUGGCAACUCUGCAUGUGCUGUAGUUGUGAAUAGGUAUCAAAGUCUUUUUUUCUAAUCUGAAAAGGGGACACAAACAAAGCCUCUUGUCUAUGAAGUGCAAAUGAAUAGAUGAAUCACCCUGCUAACUUGAAGGGCUAGGAUGUGGUAACUGAAGAGUUGCCGAAGUCAAUUGAAAUUACUUAGACUGUGAUCUCCAGGACCCUGGGAGUUCUUCAUUCAGAUUUCUUACUUCUGUCUAGCUUUCUCUUUUCAUGGCAGGAAAGGGUAUGAGAGAAAGGCCAGGGAGGCACCAGACAGCUGCUUGAACAAUCUCAGAAGUAGAAUACUUUACCAGGCAGUUGCAAGGCACUUCUGUUGGAGUUUGCAAUUGUUGGUGUUUUUUCGUCUUGACAUUGAGUCUUUCAGAGAUGCUUAAUUAAUUGCUGAUGGAAGAAGCUUGAGUUGCCAUAUCUCAUCCUUUAGGUAGAUAGCAACCAGCCUCAGUCCUGCAAAGGGGGAAUUUGGGGAAACCGUCUUGCUUGUAACAGAAUUUAUUUGCUUUAUCCACCGACUUUUGCCUUCAAAAUGCUCUCUUGUGCUUCCUUCUAUGAGAAUUUUCAUUAAAUGGAAAGAAAGUAAGAUCGAGGGCAGACACAGAGGCUAGAAUCUCUUUGCCCAGAACCACAAAAUGGAGUGAUGGUGAAAAUCUCCCUGCAUGAACUCCUCUCUGCCCAGCCUCUCCUCAAUUCUCUGGCUGGCUCUAAAAGACACUCCAAGUGGGAAAUCUCACACUGCCAUUGAUAGGCUUUUAUACACAUCUCAGCCUUCCUAUUUUCUCAACAGGUAGUGGGGCUGUUUUCUCAAAAGUGAAAGAAAAUUUGACAACAGUUUCAUAGACUCUGACGUUUUCAAGGUCAGGUGCAAAUACUCCCUAGUUGGGGAUGGUUGGGCUUAGAAGACAGCAAGGUAUCUUGGCAGUAGAUUUCUACUGGUAUAUUGCUAUGAUGUGGCCCCAGCAGAGAUGGGCUAUUACAGACCUCUUUCAUGAUGCAAGUAUGAGAUGUCAGUUCUUCUUUACCAGCUGGUAACUGAUGUUGGCAACUACAUGGAAAUGAAAGGGCUGACCUGGAGCAAAUGGAAUGGUCAUAUAAAUUGUUGUUGCUCAGUUAGAGAGACUACAAAUUAGACCAUUAAUACAAAACUGGAGUGAAAUCAGAUACCAUGCAUAGUCAUGAGCUUUUGAAACUUAGCUUAGAGCUGAGAGAGACCCCUCAUUUUAUAGACAUUCAUGUAGACAGGCCAGACAAGGGAAUUACACAUGGAAACCAUACAGAGUAGGUGAUGCAGAGAAAGCUUUUUACAAGAUAGUCACAUGGAACCUAAACAACAGAGAAUGCAUUGACUCCUUCUAAAAUUCCUGCCUCCAUGUCCUUCCCUGCCUAUGAUAUGAGAAUAAAAAGCAUAUUUGAAAACCACUGCAUCUUUUUGCUUUAACUGUUUAUACUGAGGAUGAAGAACAAUGACUAGUAGGUUACCAUCAGAGUAGAGGAUUCUUGAUAAAGAUUCAGAGUUCUUUAAUGAGGAAUAUGUAAUAUUCUUUUGUAUUGAUAAUUCCCCUAAAAUAUAUUGCCAUUCUCUCAUAUAUUGAAGGUAGAAUACAUUCAUGGUUAUGGGAGUCUAGGAAGUGAAUGAGGAAAAGCACAGGAACAAAAGCUAGGUUGCUUGUAACCAAUUUAGGCUGGUUUCAUGUGUUUGUGAAAAUAUGCUGAACUCGUUAUUACUUACAAUUAAUAUAUGUUAAUAAAAAACUAGUGCCAUAGGUCACUGAGAGUGAACUGUUAAUCUGGAUAAUCUGAUGACAAUGACAUUUGGCAAUAGAUAACAUGCUCCCUUUAUCCUGGUCUAGUCAGAUGAUUAGCAGGCUUGAAGAUAGUUGAGGAUGCAACCCUCAGGAUCAGCUUCUGAGCUUCACCUUCAUUUCCCUUGUAACUCAUUAGUUUUAAGAAAGAAAAAAUAUCACAAUUGUUCUUCAUGAGGAUG